AUGAACGCUGGCGGCGUGCCUAAUACAUGCAAGUCGCGCGAACAGAUAAGGAGCUUGCUCCUUUGACGUUAGCGGCGGACGGGUGAGUAACACGUGGGUAACCUACCUAUAAGACUGGGAUAACUUCGGGAAACCGGAGCUAAUACCGGAUAACAUUUGGAACCGCAUGGUUCUAAAGUGAAAGAUGGUUUUGCUAUCACUUAUAGAUGGACCCGCGCCGUAUUAGCUAGUUGGUAAGGUAACGGCUUACCAAGGCGACGAUACGUAGCCGACCUGAGAGGGUGAUCGGCCACACUGGAACUGAGACACGGUCCAGACUCCUACGGGAGGCAGCAGUAGGGAAUCUUCCGCAAUGGGCGAAAGCCUGACGGAGCAACGCCGCGUGAGUGAUGAAGGGUUUCGGCUCGUAAAACUCUGUUAUUAGGGAAGAACAAAUGUGUAAGUAACUGUGCACGUCUUGACGGUACCUAAUCAGAAAGCCACGGCUAACUACGUG
rnacentral:rRNA from 1 species